CCUACGGGAUGCACCAGUGGGGAAUAUUGGACAAUGGGGGCAACCCUGAUCCAGCAAUGCCGCGUGUAUGAAGAAGGUCUUCGGAUUGUAAAGUACUUUCAGUUGGGAGGAAGGCGUUGAUGCUAAUAUCAUCAACGAUUGACGUUACCAACAGAAGAAGCACCGGCUAACUCCGUGCCAGCAGCCGCGGUAAUACGGAGGGUGCAAGCGUUAAUCGGAAUUACUGGGCGUAAAGCGCACGCAGGCGGUUGAUUAAGUUAGAUGUGAAAUCCCCGGGCUUAACCUGGGAAUGGCAUCUAAGACUGGUCAGCUAGAGUCUUGUAGAGGGGGGUAGAAUUCCAUGUGUAGCGGUGAAAUGCGUAGAGAUGUGGAGGAAUACCGGUGGCGAAGGCGGCCCCCUGGACAAAGACUGACGCUCAGGUGCGAAAGCGUGGGGAGCAAACAGGAUUAGAUACCCGUGUAGUC
rnacentral:rRNA from 1 species